GGACCAGGCUGCUGGACUCAGCCCUCCCUGGCUUCAUGACCACCUAGUACCACAUCAACAAGCUGUCCCAGAGCGGGGAGGUGGGGGAGCCGGCUGGCACAGACCCAGGGCUGGACGACCUGGAUGUGGCCCUGAGCAACCUGGAGGUGAAGCUGGAGGGGUCGGCGCCCACAGAUGUGCUGGACAGCCUCACCACCAUCCCAGAGCUCAAGGACCAUCUCCGAAUCUUUCGGCCCCGGAAGCUGACCCUGAAGGGCUACCGCCAACACUGGGUGGUGUUCAAGGAGACCACACUGUCCUACUACAAGAGCCAGGACGAGGCCCCCGGGGACCCCAUUCAGCAGCUCAACCUCAAGGGCUGUGAGGUGGUUCCCGAUGUUAACGUCUCCGGCCAGAAGUUCUGCAUUAAACUCCUAGUGCCCUCCCCUGAGGGCAUGAGUGAGAUCUACCUGCGGUGCCAGGAUGUGAGUGAGGGCUGGGCAGGGGCCAGGGCCGGGCAGGAGCUGGGGCAGGGGCAGGGGCUGAGGAGCAUCAAGCUUGGUUAGCACUGUCCCCCUCACCCCUCUCGCCCAGGAGCAGCAGUAUGCC
rnacentral:sRNA from 1 species